CUUCUAAUAGGUUGGUCCAUGGAACCCGCCCACUGCAGCAACCUAAACCCACCAAUUCAAUAAAAUCUCAACCGCAUGACAUGGCGAUUAUAUCACAAUCCAGCCUCUCAAGGCUAAAUACACAGUUUAUAUAUUUCAACACAAAUACCAAUUCAGCCAUUCAUGCAAAUAUUGUCAUAAGCCAUUCGAUUCAAACUAUGAAUUUACAACACAUGAAAACAGUCUCCAAUUACUCUAUUUUCAAACCAUCAUUUCAUUUCAAGACAAUGUUAUAAAAUCAUUUCAUUAAAUCACAUUUUAAUUGCAAAACAUAAAGAUUUACCAUUUAACUCAUUUUUCAUAAAAUCACAAAAUCAGAUAAAAACCACUUUAGAUAAUUAAGAUGAUAGUAAGGUUACUCACUGUAUCAGGAGUUUGAAUUUUGGAGUACUCCGACUAUUGAUCCUCAGGUGAAAUUUUUUUACCCUUUUUUUGGAGGAUUCACCACCUAGACAUAAUGCACAAUAAGCCAUUUACUACAUUUGUGCUAAACCAUUGUAAAACCAAUUCAGGCUUUAUACUAAUGCAUGAAAUGGGAUGUGAAAUACUCGGGUAACUAUCUAAAUACGGUGUUCAAUAUAAAUUCAAUUGUGUACCUAAAUAAAAUGGUAUUGGCCUAAUUCGAUCUAUCACUCAAUUAAUUAGCUAAUAUGUCCAAUCAAACUUCAAAUAAUUCCAUUUCUCUCCCAAUACUUCAAAUCACCAAACACAAGUCAAAUAACAUAAAAUUUAGCAAAACCAUCCUCACAUUUCUUCUUGAGAAUUUCGGCCAUGGUGAGUGCAUCAACACUAUGAUUUUUCCUACUUGAUUUUCUCACCAUAAUUCAUCAUUUCCUAACCAAUUCACUUGAAAUAAAAUCAAAUCCACCAUCCACACUCGACAUGGAAGAUUCGGUCAAUGAUGGGUUAUGGAAGAACAUGAAUUUUUCUUGUUUGUUUUUCAUGCUACACAUCACUAACUAACUAAAAACACUAAAAUACAUUGAAAUCUAACCAAAUUGAAGUUCAAAACUCCUCCCCCCAUGUCCGGCCAGCAAGGGUAUCCUCAUGCAAACUUGAUUCUCAACCAAGGAAAAUGAAAAAGAAUGCAUAGGAAAGGUAAAUCACAAGCUAGCACUGAAAAAUCUUACCUUUUGUCACUUGAUUCUUUGAAAUUUUGUGAAUUUCUCUUGAAUUUCUUAGCUAGGAUUUUGUUCUUUUUCUUUUCUUCCCUUUUCUUCCUUUGG
rnacentral:lncRNA from 1 species